GAUGAACGCUGGCGGCGUGCCUAAUACAUGCAAGUCGAGCGAACGGACGAGAAGCUUGCUUCUCUGAUGUUAGCGGCGGACGGGUGAGUAACACGUGGAUAACCUACCUAUAAGACUGGGAUAACUUCGGGAAACCGGAGCUAAUACCGGAUAAUAUUUUGAACCGCAUGGUUCAAAAGUGAAAGACGGUCUUGCUGUCACUUAUAGAUGGAUCCGCGCUGCAUUAGCUAGUUGGUAAGGUAACGGCUUACCAAGGCAACGAUGCAUAGCCGACCUGAGAGGGUGAUCGGCCACACUGGAACUGAGACACGGUCAAGACUCCUACGGGAGGCAGCAGUAGGGAAUCUUCCGCAAUGGGCGAAAGCCUGACGGAGCAACGCCGCGUGAGUGAUGAAGGUCUUCGGAUCGUAAAACUCUGUUAUUAGGGAAGAAUAUAUGUGUAAGUAACUGUGCACAUCUUGACGGUACCUAAUCAGAAAGCCACGGCUAACUACGUG
rnacentral:rRNA from 1 species